CCUGGGAGAGGCUGGAGGCCGGUGGACUCAGGAAGCUCACUCUUUGGGUGAGGGCAAACAGCCUCCUGGAUUCUCCUCUGGGCCAGGAGCCAGCGAGAGUGAAGGUGCCAGGCCCUGGUUUGUUUCAGAAUUUUCAAUUGCGUGGAGUAAAUGCUUUCCACCACAGGUUAUAUGUUUGGCUGUUGCUUGUGAUGAUUCAAACUGAGAGCAACACAUUUCCCACACCUGCAAGUGGGUCACGUAAGAGUUACAGGGAACAAACACCUCAAGAGUCCAUUAACGCUGAGCUGAGAACUGAGGUUUAAAUACUGCAAGGUGGAAAUGAGACACAGACAUCGCAGGAAGAAAUUUAUAACAUAUGCAGCCCUCCAUGACCCGCUACAGGGAGCGUUGAUUACUCCAUGUAGAAAGAGUGUAUUUGUGAGUCCAGAGCGGCUCCCAGGUCUUGACCAUCCUCACAGGAACAGUCUAGAAAUAAAAGCAACACUGAUACAAAACCUUCUUCUUUGUUAGCACAAGAUCUAGGAGAUUGUUUCUUAUCAACACAUAUUUUUUUUUUUUUACCCUGAAGCUUACAUUACCAAAGUGAUAAAAGAAAAGUUACUAUCAGCUGCAGUUUAUUCAGGGCAGAAUUUUAAAAAUCAUUUAUUCAUGAAUCUGGAAUGGAUUCCCUCUCCUCCAACCCCUACACGCAUGAUGACAAGAGGAAAAGAUGGCAAACAAUGGUGUCCAGUCUUAUUACACAGUGAGGAUACGAUUCUCAAGUCAGUCUACUGAUCACAACAAAGAGGACACUACCAUCAAUGAACUCAACACGACCACGUUUAAGAAGUUCAUCAAAAUCGGGUCUUUCUUAUGAAAGAGGAUUUGGAGUACAACCUCAGACAAGAAUCACAGCACAGUUCUCUCUUACAAUGUCUAUUUCACCGCACUCUGCCUACAGAGAGGAGCUAGCUAGUCAAGUUCAGAGUUCACUGGGGGGGUUGCCUUGCAAGUUUCAACCUCAGGCUCUUAGUCUCCUGGAGGUCAGAUCAGCUAAUAUAGAUGUGUAUGUGUGUAUGUGUGUGUGUGUGUGUGUGAUCAGCUAAUGUCCAGAAGUGUGUGUGUGUCAGAGAUCAGCUACUGUCCAGAAGUGUGUGUGUGUGUGUGUCAGAGAUCAGCUAAUGUCCAGAAGUGUGUGUGUGAGAUCAGCUAAUGUCCAGAAGUGUAAGUGUGUGUGUGUGUGUGUGUGUGUGUGAGAGAGAGAGAUCAGCUAAUGUCCAGAAGUGUGUGUGUGUGUGCACGUGCACGCACGUACUCAGUCACUCAGUCCUGACUCUUUGUGACCCCAUGGACUGCAGCCCACCAGGCUCCUUUGUCCAUGGGAUUUUCCAGGCAAGAAUACUGGAGUGGGUUGCCAUUUUCUUCUCCAGGGGAUCUUUCCAACCCAGGGAUCAAAACCAUGUCUCUGGAGUUUCCUGCCAAUGAAAGUGAAAGUCACUCAGUCGUGUCCAACUCUUUGCAACCCCACAAACUAUACAGUCCAUGGACUUCUCCAGGCCAGAAUACUGGAGUGGGUAGCCUUUCCCUUCUCCAGGGGAUCUUCCCAACCCAGGAAUCAAACUCAGGUCUCCUGCAUUGCAGGCGCAUUCUUUACCAGCUGAGCCACAAGGGAAGCCCAAGAAUACUGGAGUGGGUAGCCUAUGCCAUCUCCUGCAGAUCCUCCUGACCCAGAAAUCUAACCAGGGUCUCCUGCAUUGCAGGCAGAUUCUUUACCAACUGAGAUAAAAUCUGCCACAGUUAUUCCAUUCAAGCAUUGGGGAGGCCAUCGAAUUAAACUGGAAAAAAAAUAGCUGUGCUGAACUGGGGACUGUCUGAACAUCAGUUUGUAUGUAAGUAACAAAUAAGUAGAAGAAAAAGAUUUUCAGCAUCUGCCUUCCUGAUGUCUUUGAGGUCGUUUUUGUGAGCAGGUCCGUAGCAGAGGUGAGCCACCUCCCACAAGGCAGCAGCCUGGUGACUUUCUCUCCUGUAUUUCCAUGGUGACUUCCACGUUUAUAAAAUGUGUCCUUUCUAAAAACACUAACAGCACUUCAUCAAAACCAGCUGUUCCUCUGCACAUCAGUCAGGAACUCUCGGCUGUCACUGGGCAUCAGUGUCCUGGACACAGCUUCCUGUGCACCAGGCGUCAGUGCGUGACCUACUCUCGGCGCAGUCACAUGCCCUCAGGGCUGCAGUGAGUCUGGGGGAGGUGGCAGCUGAAGAACCACCUCACCUAACCUGCUCCCUACGCCUUAUUUGUAUGAUGUCUUUGCAGUUCAAGGGACAGAGUUGAGCGUCCCAGGUGUGGACACUUACUGGGUUUUUCUUGAGAAGUUAAAUUACCUUCACUGCCUUUCAGCCCAAAUUGGGUGAAGGUAAUGGAGAUGGAAUUUAGUAGCAAAGUGAGCUCGAGAAAGGUUUUCCAGGAACGAUACCAGUAUUCUGGGGAUUUCUCUGGUAGUGCGGUUGUUAAGACCCUGCUCUUCUAAGGCAGGGGUGUGCGGCUUCAAUCCCUAGUCAGGGAACUAAGAUUCCACAUGCCCUCGAAGUGCAGACAGAAAAUAAAUAAAUAAAUCAAGGAGAUGGCAAAACUUAAAAAAAAGAGAUACCAAUGUUCUUUUUUUUUUUUUCCAGGUAUAACCACAGAAAAUCAAGGCUGGAAAAACUCUUUAACAAUCAUAUGACCAAAUCCUCCACUGGACACCUGAACGCCUAUGUAACAUCUCUGCCAAGUUGCUGUCCUGUCUCUGCUAGAAUAGCUUUAGGGGCAGGAAGUUCUUUCAACGUCAGUUAUUCCUCCUUAAAAUAGAACAGCCAGGCAGAUGGAGCAGGUAAACAAACUUCACUGAGCACGAUUAUGAAUUGUACCUAAUUUUUCAAGACAGUGAACAGACUGUCUGCUGCUACUCAAAAGAACAAAUCAGAUUUGUUGCAAGCAUCUCAGGCUUUCUGCAACGAUUCAAAAUGGGGAAUUUAGAAGUGUGGGUUUUAUAAAUCACUGCUGAAUAGCUGUGCAUUUGGUGGGGGGGAGGAUCGGAUUAAAAAUCUCUUAGAAGUAAUUAUUGUAAGGCCCCAAAACAAAGGGAAUGUACACGCUUGGUGCUGGAGAAGACUCUUGAGAGUCCCUUGGACUGCAAGGAGAUCAAGUCAAUCAAUCCUAACGGAAAUCAACCCUGAAUAUUCAUUGGAAGGACUGAUGCUGAAGCUCCAAUACUUUGGACACCUGAUGUGAAGAGCCAAUUCAUUGGAAAAGACCCUCAUGCUGAGAGAGAUUGAGGGCAGAAGGGGGAAACAGAGAAUGAGAUGGCUGGAUGGCAUCACUGACUCAAUGGACAGGAGUUUGAGCAAAUUCUGGGAGACAGUGAAGGACAGGGCUGCAGUUCAUGGGGUCGCAAAGAGUUGGACACAACUGAGUGACUGAACAAGAACAUGUUGUAAAAAAAAUUUCCUUUUGAAGAUGCAAUAAGUACCUUGUGCAGUGAGUCUGGGUAUAAGAAUUGGGGAGCUCUAGGGGAUGAGGUGCCUGCUGAUUGCAGUCAGUUGGGCUGCAGGAGGCAGAAGAGGUGAGCAAGGCCACUUACACCCCGCGGGAACUCUUUGGCUGUC
ensembl:lncRNA